rnacentral:lncRNA from 1 species
UGUGUCAGGCAUACGAAAAAUUUUAACUACCACCUCCAAACAUACAACAUUUGCAUGCUCAACUACCUCCUUAUAUUGCUUCCAAUUUGACUCGGAUGCUAAGUUCAUAAGAACAUAAUGAAGUCUAGCUUUCUCACAAUCAAAACGUCCUGUCAAUGUCAUCUCAUCCACUCUAAAUUCAUAUUUUCUCAUUGCACGAUCAACUAAAUCUUUAAAAGUUGCAGGAGCAUCGAACAAUUCCACUGCCUCAUUCAUAUUCUCAAACUCCCCAUUCUCUUUCACAAUCCCAC